GAUGAAGAACGCAGUGAAAUGCGAUAAGUAAUGUGAAUUGCAGAAUUCAGUGAAUCAUCGAAUCUUUGAACGCACCUUGCGCCCUUUGGCCAUUCCGAAGGGCAUGCCUGUUUGAGUAUCAUGAACACCUCAACUCUUUAUGGUUUUCCAUGAUGAGCUUGGACUCUGGGGGUUUUGCUGGCUCACAGUCGGCUCCUCUAAAAUAAAUCAGCUUACCAGUGUUUGGUGGGUAUCAUGGGUGUGAUAACUAUCUACCCUUGUGGUUUUUCCACCAGGUAACCUUCAGCAGUGGAGGUUCGCUGGAGCUCAUAGACGUCUCUCCUCAGUGAGGACAGCCCUUUGAACGUUUGAUCUCAAAUCAGGUAGGACUACCCGCUGAACUUAAGCAUAUCAAUAAGCGGAGGA
rnacentral:misc_RNA from 1 species